AUUUAAAGAAAGGUCAAAUAAUUGAGCCCGUGGACGUUAGAAUAAGGCAAACUUCGGAUAAUAAAUACAUUGGAAUUAUGUCUUGUGAAGAAGAAAAAGUAGGAGUAUUAUCUAGGAUAAAAGAUAUACCACCAAAGAAAAAACUACAAGAAGAAGCAUCUAAGAUUGGUUACAGCGGCAGAGACGGCAAGUCCUAUUUGUACCAAGGCAAUCGAUGGAUGCCGGUGGCCGAAGCUGAUGAUCGAGAGAUGUGGAAACACUUCCCUUAUACUAACAGAAAUUACUUCUAACUUAACAGAUUGUUAGGAACCGUAAAUUUUAAAAUGAGAAAGUAUUUUUAAUUCAAUUAAUAAUUUACCUCAGAGGCAAGACGACACAUUUCCAAAUGUGAUCCAAAUACAUAUCUAUAUAUACUAAUAUAUAAAUCUAAGGUGGUUUUUACGUAUGUUCCGUUAUAACUACUGAACCAUGAAUCCGAUUCACUGGAAACUUGGUAUUCAUGUAGAAAAUACAUGUACUUAAUGGAUAGGCUAAUAUUUAUAUGAGUGUUGGACUCCCUACAGCAGUUGCGGAGGCGUUAAUGAUGAGAAUCUUUGUAGGGUUGAGAAAUAAAUAAAUAAUAAAUAAAUAAUAAAUAUUUAUUAACAAUCACGCCACGUUAACUGGUCCCGUGAUAAGUUCGUAAAGAACUUGUGUUACAGGUACCAGAUAACGGAUAUAAAUGUAAAAUUUUUAUUAUACACAUAUAUAUAUUUAAUAUACAUCCAUAACCCUGGGAAAGACAUUUAUAUUUAUCAUACAAAUAUCUUCCCUUGGCGGGAUUCGAACCCGCGACCCCCUUGUGUAGUGACCAUGUCACUUACCACUACACCAGACGGCCGUUAAAUAAUAAUGUUAGUUUUAAAUGCCCAGCGAAGCGGACGGCUACAGUUAGUUAAUAUAUAUAAAUAUCACAUUCUGUUUCAGUAAAAGUUUAUAAUGAAAAUUCAAGAAACCUAACAAUAUUUUUUCGUAUAUUUUCACUGGUCGCUUAAUAUCGCUACAUGUUUUAUUCGUAAGUUCAUACAAAGUGAAUAUGAUAAUAUAAUUCUGUAUUUUUUACCAGAACCUCUUUAGCUCGGUAUCUGCUUGUAUUCAUUAUUAAAAAAGAAUUCAUUUCAAUCAGAAAA